rnacentral:lncRNA from 1 species
CAUCGAGGGGCACUAUUUAUACAGGGUCACCUGCAUCCAAAACUCUACUUUUCAAACCUGUUGUCGAGACCCUGGCCGAGCGGUCCCUUGUCUCAGGUAGUUGUCCCCGCCUCCUUCCUUAGAAAGUUUUCCAGGAGCCUCCGCCUUUGUUUUCCCGUUUCCUCUUUGCUUCCUUGGAAUUUUCUUUCUCAUUCUUCUUCAUUCUUCGUUCUUCGACCUUGGUUCUAGCGUCAUGGCUAGAACC